rnacentral:pre_miRNA from 1 species
UGGACAGAUUAUGGUAUUCGACUAUAUUCACGGCGUGAAAUAGGGGAUUACACUGUUUUUAAAAUGGAAAGUGAAUCAAUUAACAUAAUAAACUCCU